UUGCAUUCUAAGCUCAAUGAUGUCACCAGGCCUAAGAUCUGGUAAAGUCUUCACCUUUUCAGCCUCCUCAAUGAACUGUUUGUUCAGAAUCCCAAUGAUCUCCCCGAACUUAACCGGGGGCUUGCUCGGCGGCGGAGGCUCAUCUUCUUCCUCCUGCUCUUCCUCCGCCACCGCGACAGCCGCCUCCGCCUCACCCUCCUCCACCUCAGCGUCAGUCGAGGCAGCAACAGCCUCAGCCUCAGCCUCAGCGGCGGGCUCCGG
rnacentral:misc_RNA from 1 species